UACAGAGGGUGCGAGCAUUAAUCGGAAUUACUGGGCGUAAAGCGUGCGUAGACGGUAGCGUAAGUCAGAUGUGAAAGCCCCGGGCUCAACCUGGGAACUGCAUUUGUGACUGCAUCGCUGGAGUGCGGCAGAGGGGGAUGGAAUUCCGCGUGUAGCAGUGAAAUGCGUAGAUAUGCGGAGGAACACCGAUGGCGAAGGCAAUCCCCUGGGCCUGCACUGACGCUCAUGCACGAAAGCGUGGGGAGCAAACAGG
rnacentral:rRNA from 1 species